AGUAGGGAAUCUUCCACAAUGGACGAAAGUCUGAUGGAGCAACGCCGCGUGUGUGAUGGAGGGUUUCGGCUCGUAAAACACUGUUGUAAGAGAAGAAUAGCAUCAAGAGUAACUGCUUGGUGUGUGACGGUAUCUUACCAGAAAGGAACGGCUAAAUACGUGCCAGCAGCCGCGGUAAUACGUAUGUUCCAAGCGUUAUCCGGAUUUAUUGGGCGUAAAGCGAGCGCAGACGGUUUUUUAAGUCCGAAGUGAAAGCCCACAGCUUAACUGUGGAAGUGCUUUGGAAACUGGAUGACUUGAGUGCAGUAGAGGAGAGUGGAAUUCCAUGUGUAGCGGUGAAAUGCGUAGAUAUAUGGAGGAACACCAGUGGCGAAGGCGGCUCUCUGGACUGUAACUGACGUUGAGGCUCGAAAGUGUGGGUAGCAAACAGGAUUAGAUACCCUGGUAGUCCACACCGUAAACGAUGAGUGCUAGAUGUUUGGGGGUUUCCGCCCCUAAGUGUCGCAGCUAACGCAUUAAGCACUCCGCCUGGGGAGUACGACCGCAAGGUUG
rnacentral:rRNA from 1 species